rnacentral:rRNA from 1 species
AACGAACGCUGGCGGCAGGCUUAACACAUGCAAGUCGAGCGCCCCGCAAGGGGAGCGGCAGACGGGUGAGUAACGCGUGGGAAUCUACCCAUCUCUACGGAAUAACGCAUGGAAACGUGUGCUAAUACCGUAUACGUCCUUCGGGAGAAAGAUUUAUCGGAGAUGGAUGAGCCCGCGUUGGAUUAGCUAGUUGGUGGGGUAAAGGCCUACCAAGGCGACGAUCCAUAGCUGGUCUGAGAGGAUGAUCAGCCACACUGGGACUGAGACACGGCCCAGACUCCUACGGGAGGCGGCAGUGGGGAAUAUUGGACAAUGGGCGCAAGCCUGAUCCAGCCAUGUCGCGUGAGUGAUGAAGGCCCUAGGGUUGUAAAGCUCUUUCACCGGUGAGGAUAAUGACGGUAACCGGAGAAGAAGCCCCGGCUAACUUCGUGCCAGCCGCCGCCGUAACAC